CAAUGAAUAAAGUAUGGUAAUGUGCACAUAAAUUACAUUAGGUCUCUAGGCCUACCUUCUCUAAUGUCAUUUGGCUUUAAUUUUGGGGCAUGGUUUCGUAGCAAAACA